AUAUAUAAAAAUCUGAAAAAAUCUCACUUCCCUCUUACUGUUUUUAGUUAGUAUUUUUUAUGAUAUAAGUGCAUUUCUAUCUUCAUCGCAGCACCAGAGACGCAGAAAAGCAACACUGUUAGGUUUAAUUAUAUGUGUUUUUUUUUUUUUUUUGCAGUUUUUUCCAACCUCCCACAAUGCUCAGCGCAUAAAUCUGACACCAAACAACAGGAUGAACACCCCACCCAGUCACAACUCUGAAGGCCCGCGCUUGUUUUCUUUGGCGGCUGAUUAAAACGGCAGACUGACGAGCUCGGCGAUGACGACAGCUAAUGGUCAAAUAACCAACAAUCAAUCACAUUGAGGUUAAGGUUUGCAUGUGUAAUGCAAAUCUACGUUUGCAAUGCAAAUGCAAGUUCAGAUUUAAUAUGUCAAAAGUAAAAACUAGGUCUGGAGUUUAAUCCAGGGGGGUCUGUUAAAAAUACCCUGUUAAAUAGACAGCCUUGCGUUUCAUCAUCUCCUGCCCUGUGGUGUCUGCUAAUGAAGAGAGCUCCCGCUAACAAUGACUAGCACAGUUGGCCUAAUCAACGCUUGUCUUACGCAUCCGUUGCUCUUCCUCUAUUCCCUGGCGGUCUGGUUUUCUCGUUAUUGUAAUCUUGAAUUAGGCCCGGCUAAUUGAGCUUUUAAUUAGAGAUGCUGGUACGAAAGUGUGAGUGUUGUGACCUUAUGUAUGAAUUACUGUGUAGUCUUUCUUAUUUAAAUCUGAUUCUAAAUGCUCUGAAUAGAUGAAUCCUAUUAAAACAUUAGCAGGUGUGUGUGUGUGUGUGUGUGUGUGUGUGUGUGUGUGUGUGUGUUAUUGUUUCUAAGUAGAAGUCUCUUAUGCUGACCAAGGAUGCAUUUAUUUAAACACGCGCAGCAAAAACAGUAAUAUUGUGAAAUAUAUUAUUACUAUCUAAAAUAACUCUUUGCUGUUUUAAUUUAUUUUAAGGUGUAAUGCAUUCCUUUGAUGCAAAACUGAAUUGUCAGCAUCAUUAUUUCAGUCUCAGUGUGGCAUAAAUCUUUAGAAAUCGUUCUGAUAAGCUGAUUUACUGAUCAAGAAACAUUUCCUAUUAUUAGUAUUAAAAACAGUUAUAUUUAUUUGAAAACGUGUUUUAUAGCAUUAUCAUUUAUUUAUAUUAUUAAAUAAUAUUUAUAUAUAAUAUCUUUGCUUAAAAAAUAUAUAAUUUGUUAACAACGAUUUACUGACCCUGCAUUUUAUAAAAAAUAAUAUUUUGAUUUCAUAGAAGUUCAUUUAUUAUUAUUAUUAUUAUUAUUAUUCAUUAACCUUCAGAUACAACCACGGUAAUACCUUUUUUUAUUUUUAUUUUUUUUUUACAUUUUAGUAAUCUGAAUUAAAGGUGAAAUGUGCUGGAAUUAUCCCACAACGCAAAAAAAAAAAUAUUUUUAAAGAACAAAAUAGAAUCAUUUAGAUAUUUCAUGGGAUGUAUCAGGAAUACACAGGUGCUUAACGGCAGUAAUAAAGGCCUCAUUGUGCUGGUGUGUGAACAAGUCAACUGGACGCGUGACUGUAGUGUGUUUGCUGUGGGAGGGUCUUGAGUGGAUAGAGGUCACUGUGGGUCACCUCCGCCCCACUGUCUUUGUUCCUGAGACACAACGAUCAACAUACUUUAAAUAAUUCAGAUUGUGUCGCCCGCAGAGUAUUGCGCCGUUGUCAGGAGCUCAAUUAAUGACUUUAAUUGUUAUUGACUAAUAGUGUUCGAGAAAGCUGCUCCAGCCUUUUCAAACGGUAACACACCGAAUUCGAGCUAAGCAGACAAUACUUUUAGAUAAUCAAGAGUUUGUUCUUACGGUUUGGAGUCAGCGGUCUCCUAUCUCCGAUCUGAGCUCGACUGUGUGCUAUUUACGGUUUUAAAAUCACUGCCGUGCGCAAAGUGACCCUGAGCUAUAUCUGCUUAUUCUGUAAGUGUUCCGCAUGAGCGAUGCUUCUGCGUAAAUAAUGCAUCGUCUUCAUCGGGAGGCUCCUCCGUGUCUUUUCCCGAAAAGCAGCGACUCGCUGUUGCCCGGGAAGUGGCUUUGAAAGACACUGCAGCAGUUCUCUUGGCAGACAGGUAUUAUGUUUGCUUCUCUGGUUUCAUCAUUGUAUUUAUAGCGUGGCAUUGCUGAGUCACUGGCAAAGGCUUAAAGUUGAAAACACGCACAAGGCCGUAGUGUGAGCUGCUGAAAGGAUCCAGACCAUCCUGAGCGACGACGAGGAAGUGAAAUCACGCUCUUUUGACUCGCUAUGUUUUGGUGAUCUGGCUGUGUUUGGAAAGGGCACUCGCUCUCUAGAGACUUUCUGUCCCUUCAUCUGUAUUCUGCUGCAAACUCCAUCUGGCUAGAGCUCUUAGGCCUCCUUUAAAGGGACAGCUCACCCAAAAACGAUCGUUCUAGCCUUUUUGUCACUCCAUGCCUACGUGACGUGCUUUCUUCUACCGAACACAAAAUAAGAAACCGUUCGUGAUAUGAUAACCAUACGAUAGUCACAUCAUGUUCUGCAGAAGAAGAAAAAAAGGUUUGUAGGUGAAUAAGUGACGACGGAUUUAAUUUUUAGUGUCAACUAACAGCUAAAACCUAAUUAAGUAAACCUCUGUUGAGUCUGAAUUUCUGAAACUAGCGUAUUUUUAAUACGUGGAUGAAUAUGUCAUCAAUAACGUUCCUGUCGGGUUUCACCCCAGAUCAAAACGGGGAAUGAGGUUUUGCAUUAAGAAAAUGAAGCGAUGUGCAUUUCCUGAGUUUUGCGGAUUUUCCCCUUUCCUCAUUUUCAGAACGCACAAAUCCCAUUAUCAUUACUGGAACGAGGAAGCACAUAACCUGAAGUGUAUUGUAUGUAGGAUUUGUUGUGCUGUAAUGCAUUAAUGAGAAUCUCCAUUAAGAACAAAUGGAAAUUGUAAAAACAUUAAAAAUUUACAUAAAUGAAAAUUCAUGAUGCAUUAUGGUAAGGGCUGAGCAAUGAAUGACAGUUUAAUGUUUUCAGCUCCCAAUAAUUGUAUUGUUGAUGGGGGGGAAAAAUACAACAGGAGUGUAAUACAGCCAGACACGUGCCGGUAUUCUUUAAUGUGAUUCAUCGCUAUAAAGAAUAGGCACGGUAUCGUUAUCACGGGCACCUUUAAAAUACGGAAAAGAAGUAUUUACGCGUGCACUCUGAUGUAAACGAGCACGAAUGAGGACAGCCAUUAUCACAAACACUGCGCUACUUUCACAUUUAAAUAUCCGCAGUGGUGUUCAUCACGGCGCCAAAAACAUUCAUAUUUAGUCCCAGUGGGCUAUUUAUUUUUAAAUUCUUUAUUAUUCUGGGUUAACUAAUGAUAUCUUACCGUGAAAUAAUACCUAUCGAUCUUUAAAUUCUUUUUCACUUUAACCGGUGUAAAAAACAUUUUUUGUGCAUUGCUUUAUUAUAUUUAAAUGUUUAUAUAUUUUUGUAAAAGAACAAAAGGUAUUAAACGAUUUAUACUGUAUUAUGGCAGCACCUUUUUGCCACUAAAUUUCAAUAUCGUGAAAAUACUGUAUAUUCCCAGGUAAAAAACAAGCAGACUUAAUGUAAUUAAAGUGUUCUAUUUUUGCGCACAAUUUUGAAAUUUAUAUACUAAAUAUGAUUCUUUAGUACUUUUUAA